rnacentral:rRNA from 1 species
UACGGCGAGUGAGCGGCAAAAGCUCAAAUUUGAAAUCUGGUACCUUCGGUGCCCGAGUUGUAAUUUGGAGAGGGCAACUUUGGGGCCGUUCCUUGUCUAUGUUCCUUGGAACAGGACGUCAUAGAGGGUGAGAAUCCCGUGUGGCGAGGAGUGCGGUUCUUUGUAAAGUGCCUUCGAAGAGUCGAGUUGUUUGGGAAUGCAGCUCUAAGUGGGUGGUAAAUUCCAUCUAAAGCUAAAUAUUGGCGAGAGACCGAUAGCGAACAAGUACAGUGAUGGAAAGAUGAAAAGAACUUUGAAAAGAGAGUGAAAAAGUACGUGAAAUUGUUGAAAGGGAAGGGCAUUUGAUCAGACAUGGUGUUUUGUGCCCUCUGCUCCUUGUGGGUAGGGGAAUCUCGCAUUUCACUGGGCCAGCAUCAGUUUUGGUGGCAGGAUAAAUCCAUAGGAAUGUAGCUUGCCUCGGUAAGUAUUAUAGCCUGUGGGAAUACUGCCAGCUGGGACUGAGGACUGCGACGUAAGUCAAGGAUGCUGGCAUAAUGGUUAUAUGCCGCCCGUCUUGAACACG